CUGCCUGCUUCGGCGGAUAUAAUUGACAAGGGACGAGAAACCUUGAAGUGCAGACCUUGACCCCUUAUUGGUUGGCGGUUGAAUGUGAAAGGGUCCUACAAAUGUGGUCAUGCGGUGUUUUCAACUGUCUGUAACCAACUGCUACGAUUUCUGCACAAACCCAACCCGGAGGUCCGAGUGCCAAAGCUGCCCUUCACGACGUCGUGUCCACAGCCUGCAAAGCCCCUAGUGGAUCCUACCUCUGUGGCUGCUGCAACAGAGCUGCUGCCUUACCUGAGGCUUCCACGAACAACAGCAGGGAUUCAAGCUGCCCCUUCUCUCUCGCUCCUGAGCUCAGCUUCCCUCCACAUCCAGGGCCAACGCUUUGGAGCUCAUCCUGCUGACUCUUUGCCCCAUUUCUGCACUGGCAGCUCCGCUCACCUGACCCCUAAAUCUGUGCCUGCUUGGGGAUCUGGCCGAGAUGCUGUUCCUGCUCUUGUCUGCCUGCCUGCCAGCUCUCCUCUGCUUCCCCUGCCACAGCUCCAGCCCAGUGGAACUGUGUCUGGUUUCUGUCUGGAUUCCUUUUUCAAAGCUUUCAGAUAGAAUGAGAGGAAAAUUCUCUCUCCAACUUUUAACACAUAGAAGGAGCUUGGUAAAUAUGAGUUGAAGUUGGUAAAGAAUGGAAGGAUGGAAGAAAGGAAGGGAGGGAUGGAGGAAGAGAGAGAAAGAAGGAGACAAUGGAGAAUCUUGCUCACUGGACCACCCUACCUUCUUAAGGACUCCAAAUCCAGAGAUUCUGAAAGCUCUUAAACAAAGUAUCAGGGUAGGUGGAGGGCAGGAGGGGAGAGACAGAGCGGAAGGGAUGAACUGGCCUGUGCUCCUGGGAGAACACAGACCCAGGGCUGGGGGCCCAUAGCUUCCCCAUGUCUGCGGCACUGAUCACUGGCCAAGUCUCCCCAGGUCCAGGGAAUGUCAGAGGCCCUGCCCCAUGUCUUCGCCCCUACAGUUUCUUCUACCUGGGCUGCUCUUUCCUUUCCUCUUCACCUUUCUCAUUCCUCUUCCUUCCUGUGAGGACUUCCCACCCAUCCCUUCCCCAUGCCUGCAGCCAGAGACUCUUUCCACUCUGCCAGCCUUCCUGGAGCAGUACCUGAUGGAGGGUGUUUGUC